GGUUAAGCGACUAAGCGUACACGGUGGAUGCCCUGGCAGUCAGAGGCGAUGAAGGACGUGCUAAUCUGCGAUAAGCGUCGGUAAGGUGAUAUGAACCGUUAUAACCGGCGAUUUCCGAAUGGGGAAACCCAGUGUGUUUCGACACACUAUCAUUAACUGAAUCCAUAGGUUAAUGAGGCGAACCGGGGGAACUGAAACAUCUAAGUACCCCGAGGAAAAGAAAUCAACCGAGAUUCCCCCAGUAGCGGCGAGCGAACGGGGAGCAGCCCAGAGCCUGAAUCAGUGUGUGUGUUAGUGGAAGCGUCUGGAAAGGCGUGCGAUACAGGGUGACAGCCCCGUACACAAAAAUGCACAUGCUGUGAGCUCGAUGAGUAGGGCGGGACACGUGGUAUCCUGUCUGAAUAUGGGGGGGACCAUCCUCCAAGGCUAAAUACUCCUGACUGACCGAUAGUGAACCAGUACCGUGAGGGAAAGGCGAAAAGAACCCCGGCGAGGGGAGUGAAAAAGAACCUGAAACCGUGUACGUACAAGCAGUGGGAGCACGCUUAGGCGUGUGACUGCGUACCUUUUGUAUAAUGGGUCAGCGACUUAUAUUCUGUAGCAAGGUUAACCGAAUAGGGGAGCCGAAGGGAAACCGAGUCUUAACUGGGCGUUAAGUUGCAGGGUAUAGACCCGAAACCCGGUGAUCUAGCCAUGGGCAGGUUGAAGGUUGGGUAACACUAACUGGAGGACCGAACCGACUAAUGUUGAAAAAUUAGCGGAUGACUUGUGGCUGGGGGUGAAAGGCCAAUCAAACCGGGAGAUAGCUGGUUCUCCCCGAAAGCUAUUUAGGUAGCGCCUCGUGAAUUCAUCUCCGGGGGUAGAGCACUGUUUCGGCAAGGGGGUCAUCCCGACUUACCAACCCGAUGCAAACUGCGAAUACCGGAGAAUGUUAUCACGGGAGACACACGGCGGGUGCUAACGUCCGUCGUGAAGAGGGAAACAACCCAGACCGCCAGCUAAGGUCCCAAAGUCAUGGUUAAGUGGGAAACGAUGUGGGAAGGCCCAGACAGCCAGGAUGUUGGCUUAGAAGCAGCCAUCAUUUAAAGAAAGCGUAAUAGCUCACUGGUCGAGUCGGCCUGCGCGGAAGAUGUAACGGGGCUAAACCAUGCACCGAAGCUGCGGCAGCGACACUAUGUGUUGUUGGGUAGGGGAGCGUUCUGUAAGCCUGUGAAGGUGUGCUGUGAGGCAUGCUGGAGGUAUCAGAAGUGCGAAUGCUGACAUAAGUAACGAUAAAGCGGGUGAAAAGCCCGCUCGCCGGAAGACCAAGGGUUCCUGUCCAACGUUAAUCGGGGCAGGGUGAGUCGACCCCUAAGGCGAGGCCGAAAGGCGUAGUCGAUGGGAAACAGGUUAAUAUUCCUGUACUUGGUGUUACUGCGAAGGGGGGACGGAGAAGGCUAUGUUGGCCGGGCGACGGUUGUCCCGGUUUAAGCGUGUAGGCUGGUUUUCCAGGCAAAUCCGGAAAAUCAAGGCUGAGGCGUGAUGACGAGGCACUACGGUGCUGAAGCAACAAAUGCCCUGCUUCCAGGAAAAGCCUCUAAGCAUCAGGUAACAUCAAAUCGUACCCCAAACCGACACAGGUGGUCAGGUAGAGAAUACCAAGGCGCUUGAGAGAACUCGGGUGAAGGAACUAGGCAAAAUGGUGCCGUAACUUCGGGAGAAGGCACGCUGAUAUGUAGGUGAAGCGACUUGCUCGUGGAGCUGAAAUCAGUCGAAGAUACCAGCUGGCUGCAACUGUUUAUUAAAAACACAGCACUGUGCAAACACGAAAGUGGACGUAUACGGUGUGACGCCUGCCCGGUGCCGGAAGGUUAAUUGAUGGGGUUAGCCGCAAGGCGAAGCUCUUGAUCGAAGCCCCGGUAAACGGCGGCCGUAACUAUAACGGUCCUAAGGUAGCGAAAUUCCUUGUCGGGUAAGUUCCGACCUGCACGAAUGGCGUAAUGAUGGCCAGGCUGUCUCCACCCGAGACUCAGUGAAAUUGAACUCGCUGUGAAGAUGCAGUGUACCCGCGGCAAGACGGAAAGACCCCGUGAACCUUUACUAUAGCUUGACACUGAACAUUGAGCCUUGAUGUGUAGGAUAGGUGGGAGGCUUUGAAGUGUGGACGCCAGUCUGCAUGGAGCCGACCUUGAAAUACCACCCUUUAAUGUUUGAUGUUCUAACGUUGACCCGUAAUCCGGGUUGCGGACAGUGUCUGGUGGGUAGUUUGACUGGGGCGGUCUCCUCCUAAAGAGUAACGGAGGAGCACGAAGGUUGGCUAAUCCUGGUCGGACAUCAGGAGGUUAGUGCAAUGGCAUAAGCCAGCUUGACUGCGAGCGUGACGGCGCGAGCAGGUGCGAAAGCAGGUCAUAGUGAUCCGGUGGUUCUGAAUGGAAGGGCCAUCGCUCAACGGAUAAAAGGUACUCCGGGGAUAACAGGCUGAUACCGCCCAAGAGUUCAUAUCGACGGCGGUGUUUGGCACCUCGAUGUCGGCUCAUCACAUCCUGGGGCUGAAGUAGGUCCCAAGGGUAUGGCUGUUCGCCAUUUAAAGUGGUACGCGAGCUGGGUUUAGAACGUCGUGAGACAGUUCGGUCCCUAUCUGCCGUGGGCGCUGGAGAACUGAGGGGGGCUGCUCCUAGUACGAGAGGACCGGAGUGGACGCAUCACUGGUGUUCGGGUUGUCAUGCCAAUGGCACUGCCCGGUAGCUAAAUGCGGAAGAGAUAAGUGCUGAAAGCAUCUAAGCACGAAACUUGCCCCGAGAUGAGUUCUCCCUGACUCCUUGAGAGUCCUGAAGGAACGUUGAAGACGACGACGUUGAUAGGCCGGGUGUGUAAGCGCAGCGAUGCGUUGAGCUAACCGGUACUAAUGAACCGUGAGGCUUAACC
rnacentral:rRNA from 1 species